rnacentral:rRNA from 1 species
CAAUCUGCCUUUGGAUGGGGGAUAACAGCCGGAAACGACUGCUAAUACUGCAUGAUGCAGCGGGGUCGCAUGAUUUUGCUGCCAAAGAUUUAUCGUCCAAAGAUGAGCUCGCGUCUGAUUAGCCAGUUGGCGGGGUAACGGCCCACCAAAGCGACGAUCAGUAGCCGGACUGAGAGGUUGAACGGCCACAUUGGGACUGAGACACGGCCCAGACUCCUACGGAAGGCAGCAG